rnacentral:rRNA from 1 species
CCUACGGGCGGCAGCAGUGAGGAAUAUUGGUCAAUGGACGAGAGUCUGAACCAGCCAAGUAGCGUGAAGGAUGACUGCCCUAUGGGUUGUAAACUUCUUUUAUAUGGGAAUAAAAUGUUCCACGUGUGGGAUUUUGUAUGUACCAUAUGAAUAAGGAUCGGCUAACUCCGUGCCAGCAGCCGCGGUAAUACGGAGGAUCCGAGCGUUAUCCGGAUUUAUUGGGUUUAAAGGGAGCGUCGGUGGAUUGUUAAGUCAGUUGUGAAAGUUUGCGGCUCAACCGUAAAAUUGCAGUUGAAACUGGCAGUCUUGAGUACAGUAGAGGUGGGCGGAAUUCGUGGUGUAGCGGUGAAAUGCUUAGAGAUCACGAAGAACUCCGAUUGCGAAGGCAGUUCACUGGACUGCAACUGACACUGAGGCUCGAAAGUGUGGGUAUCAAACAGGAUUAGAUACCCGAGUAGUC